AUCCAACUGACGAGUCCCAAAUAGGAUGAAACACACAUUCUGGAU
rnacentral:hammerhead_ribozyme from 1 species